GAUGAACGCUGGCGGCGUGCCUAAUACAUGCAAGUCGAGCGAACGGACGAGAAGCUUGCUUCUCUGAUGUUAGCGGCGGACGGGUGAGUAACACGUGUAUAACCUACCUAUAAGACUGGGAUAACUUCGGGAAACCGGAGCUAAUACCGGAUAAUAUUUUGAACCGCAUGGUUCAAAAGUGAAAGACGGUCUUGCUGUCACGUAUAGAUGGAUCCGGGCUGGAUGAGCUAGUUGGUAAGGUAACGGCUUACCAAGGCAACGAUGCAUAGGCGACCUGAGAGGCUGGUCGGCCACCUGAGAGCUGAGACGCGGACCAGAGUCCUACGGGACGCAGCAGUAGGGAAUCUGCGGCAAUGGGCGGAAGCCUGACGGAGCAGCGCCGCGUGAGUGAUGAAGGUCUUCGGAUCGUAAAGCUCUGUUAUUGGGGAUGAACAGAUGUGUAAUUAACUGUGCAGUUCGUGACGGUACCUAGUCAGAAAGCCACGGCUAACUACGUG
rnacentral:rRNA from 1 species